GACGAACGCUGGCGGCGUGCCUAAUACAUGCAAGUUGAGCGCUGAAGGUUGGUACUUGUACCAACUGGAUGAGCAGCGAACGGGUGAGUAACGCGUGGGGAAUCUGCCUUUGAGCGGGGGACAACAUUUGGAAACGAAUGCUAAUACCGCAUAAAAACUUUAAACACAAGUUUUAAGUUUGAAAGAUGCAAUUGCAUCACUCAAAGAUGAUCCCGCGUUGUAUUAGCUAGUCGGUGAGGUAAAGGCUCACCAAGGCGAUGAUACAUAGCCGACCUGAGAGGGUGAUCGGCCACAUUGGGACUGAGACACGGCCCAAACUCCUACGGGAGGCAGCAGGAGGGAAUCUUCGGCAAUAGACGAAAGUCUGACCGAGCAACGCCGCGUGAGUGAAGAAGGUUUUCGGAUCGUAAAACUCUGUUGGUAGAGAAGAACGUUGGUGAGAGUGGAAAGCUCAUCAAGUGACGGUAACUACCCAGAAAGGGACGGCUAACUACGUG
rnacentral:rRNA from 1 species